GAUAAAAGUAGCAAUACUUGGACAUCGGCGAAAGAGAGAGUAAUACAUAGGUACGUACCCUUGGGAUUGGGAUAGCGGCGGGAAUCUGCCGCUAAUAUCAGAUGACGUAUCCGAACCAAAGGUGCGAAUCCGCAUGAGGAGCGGCCUCUGUCCUAUUAGCUUGUUGGUGGGGUUCCGCCCUACCAAGGCAAAGAUGGGUAUGGGGUGUGAGAGCAUGCCCCCACUCACUGGGACUGAGACACUGCCCAGACACCUACGGGUGGCUGCAGUCGAGAAUCUUCGGCAAUGGACGCAAGUCUGACCGAGCGACGCCGCGUGCGGGAUGAAGGCCUUCGGGUUGUAAACCGCUGUCGUAGAGGAGGAAAUUCUGGUGGGUACUCCCAUCAGAUUGACUGAUUCUAGGAGGAAGGACCGGCUAAUCUCGUCCAGCAGCCGCGGUAAUACGAGAGGUCCAAACGUUAUUCGGAAUUACUGGGCUUACAGAGUUCGUAGGCGGUUCUACAAGUGAGGUGUGAAAGCCCUCGGCUCAACCGAGGAACUGCGCUUCAAACUGUAGAACUAGAGGGAGAUAGAGGUGAGCAGAUCUGAUGGUGGAGCGGUGAAAUGCGUUGAUAUCAUCAGGAAUCCCGGAGGCGAAGGCGGCUCUCUGGGUCUCUUCUCACGGUGAGGAACGAAAGCUAGGGGAGCACACGGGAUUAGAUCCCCCGGUAGUCCUACCCGUAAACGAUGAGCUCUGGG
rnacentral:rRNA from 1 species